GAGGAUGUGGCUCAGUGAUAGGGUGCUUGCCCAGCAUGCAUGAGGCCCUGGGUUCAAUUCCCAGCACUGCA
rnacentral:tRNA from 1 species